rnacentral:rRNA from 1 species
UACGUAGGGGGCAAGCGUUGUCCGGAUUUAUUGGGCGUAAAGAGCGUGUAGGCGGCUAGGUAGGUCCGUUGUGAAAACUCGAGGCUCAACCUCGAGACGCCGGUGGAAACCAUCUAGCUAGAGUCCGGAAGAGGAGAGUGGAAUUCCUGGUGUAGCGGUGAAAUGCGCAGAUAUCAGGAAGAACACCCGUGGCGAAGGCGGCUCUCUGGACCGGAACUGACGCUGAGGCGCGAAAGCGUGGGGAGCAAACAGG